UUCCAUGGAAUUUUAUCAUAAGAUUUAGGGCUAUAGUCAAAUCGAGGGUCCUUUUGCCUUUCUCCGCUACCAUCAUAAGAAUCAUCUUCAUCAUCAGCAAGACGACUGUAGGGAAUGUUUCUUCGAGAUGCCAUAAAGAUCAAUGUAAAUGCUGGUUAUAAAAGUGUCAAAUAACUCCAACUCCAAUUGAACUGUGGAGUUUCAAAAUCAAAGAGAAGACAGGUGAAGAAAAAUAAGUAGGCUAAAAAUAAAUUUUAUGAGAUUUAAGACAAUGAACUUGAAGCCGAAAAAAUUGCACACAGUUGAAUAACUAAUAAAAAUUAACACAUAAACCUUAAAUCUUAAAACAUUUCAACAACUUUCCCAAGAUAAUAAAUUUGUAGGUCUAAAUACUCAACUAUUUCAAACAUUUAAGAUCUAGAAAUUUCCAAGACAAACAAAGAAAACUACAUGGAAGUUUUAAACAUAAUUUUCAACAUGCAUGGAGAUAAACAUGGAAACUCGUGUGUGCAGAGAAAAAUAUGUUUAAAACAGAGAAGUACAGUGAAAUGACAAGACCUUGCUUUAAUUAAAUAGCAAUAUGAAACUACCCCAAACAUUUACAUGGAGACAAAGGUGAAAAUGUGAGAUCAAGACACCAGAUUAAGUGUGAGCGAGUCAUGAGACUGAGGGCAACCAAUCACUGUCCGAGCAAUUUUUAUUACACUAAUUUUCUUUGGGCGUAACAAUGGAGUAUAAUCAUUCAUGUAAUUAAGCUAUGUAUAUUUAAGUUACAUAUACCCAUGUAUGCUUAACAAGAGGACUUAGUGCUAAGGAUCUGCAGUUGAGCUAAUAGCAUGAGUUGAUAAUAUUUUGCUUUCUGUUUUAACUUACUGGAUUACCCAAAAUACAGAAACUGUUUCAAUUUACAAUAAAUUUUUAGAAAUUACCAUAGAUUCUCCUAGAAGAACUUUUUUCUGGCAAUUUUAUACAGAGUCAUUUCAUAAAAAGAAAAGAAGAGUAAAGAUUAAUUAAAAACCUGAGAAAGUAAUACUAAUAUUUUAACCUGUAUUCAACAUUGAGCUAUCAUCUAAUCUGUAUCCUACAUCUUUACUUUAGAUCUAUUUCUGUAUGCCGUAUGCCUUGUACACAAGAAGGCAAAAAAUUAGCGAAUGCGGCUUAUAAACUUCAAUAUCUAGGCAACAGAAAGAGUUUUGACACUAUGAAAAUGGCACAUGCUAAACUAGUAACAUGGUGCUGAAUGAGGUGGAACCUCAGACAGCAGGUGUUAGGAGAGUUAAAGAGUCGAAGCCAAUCCAAUAAGGACAACGGGUGUAAAAUGAGAAGGUUCAAGUGACUCCUAAGGCUAGAGUUUGUCCCAACUCCAUUGUAGAACAGGGCUAUCUUUCAAUCUGGCAAUCUUAGGCGGUUUUAGAAAUAUCCAUCCAAAAACAUGUCAGUUGUCACGCUGACCGAUUUUUAAUGCUUGAACGAUGAUAUGAAUAAGUUGAUAAAGCAAAAACUCCUUUCUAAAGAACAAAUAUUCUUAUCUGCCAUUCUAUUCUAUGUAUUGUCAAAGAUUUAAAAAAUGAAAUAGAUGGUGAAUGCCUAAUUGAAUUGAUCAGGUAUCAAAUCCAUAUUUUGGAACAAACCAUAACCUACUAACACUUUUACAUUAACUCAACAGAUUUUGAAAUAAUGUUACUGCCUGGAUCAUGGUUAUAAAUUUUCUCAUUUUCAUCCAACAUAUAAUAUUUAAUUACUUAAAAAAUCUGUUUUAAAUUGUCAAGUUGCAAAUAGUUAUUUAACAAUCUGAUUAUGAGUUAUUAAAUCAUUAAAUGGUAAAAUGAAUAAAAAUUUCCAAUUCUUUACACAUGAAGUUUGUCUUCCCUAUGAUAAAAAAGCUCUGAUAAACUACUCUCUAUAUCAGUUUAUUAGCGUUAUAUCUGUCUCUCCACAGUAUAAAAUAGAAAAUGAGGGGCUUGGUUGCAAUUUGGAUUUAGUGAAACACUAAGUAGCACUAUAUGGAACCCAUUUUCAUUUUAUACAAAGAAAACCCUAAACCAUCGACACAGAGAAGAAAAGAAGAAAAAAAUAAGUAAAGGGAGAGAAAAAGAAAGAAGGAAAAGAAAGGAAAACCUAGCGCCUCCGCCUUCCUCCACCCUCUCGACGGUAGCUCCAAGUUUAGAAAGAGCAGAAAAGAAGAAAAGGGAAAGAAAAAAAGAGACAAGAAGAACGAAGAAAACAAAAGAAGCAGAUUUCAAGAAAUGUCUGGUAGAAAUUUGAAGGAUCGACACAUCCCAAUACCCAUACACAUGUUGUGUCGUGUGGACACAGGUACUUCGUCCAUUUCGAAGAGUCUGAGUAUCAGAGAAACAAUCGAUCCCCUUCGUUUCGUGAACAGCAAGACCUAAGAUUGUCUUGCCGGUCAACUCCAAGGGAGGGGUAUUUGCAACCCAAUAACCAAAAAACUAUCCACUGAACCAGCAGUUCACACCUCAUCACAAGCAGGUUCCAUUUUUUAUUUUUUUUUAAAGCACUGUUUAUAAUAUAAUUAUCAGCCACAACCAAAUAUGCUCAAACCACCACCAUGCCGCCCAUUGUCACACACUCAGUCACUAACCCAAUGUUCCCCAAGUCCAACAAGCUAUAGAUUUACUGCAUAAAACUUAAGAACACACUAUCACCAGUCCACAAAUACUGUCCCUUCCCACAACCCCACACUGCGUUAACAAUCCCCAACAUUACGACCAUCACGAAACAAAAAUUCAUAAUUUCACUCCAUUGUAGAAUAAGGCUAUCUUUCAAUUUUCUCACUCUCUCUUAGAAAUAUCCAUCCAAAAACAUGUCAGUUGGUUUUAUGUUGACUGAUGUUUAAUGCUCAUGAUAUGAAGUAGUCGAUAAAGCAUAAACUCCUUUCUAAAGGACAAGUAUUGUUAUCUGCCAAUCUACUCUAUGUAUUGUCAAAAAUUUGAACAAUGAAAAUAGAUGGCAAGUGCCUGAUUGAAUUGAUCAGGUAUCAAAUCCAUAUUUUGGAACUAACAUUUUGACUUGAAUUUAAUUCAUUAGAUCUCAAAAUAAUGUUACUGCCUGGAUCAUGGUUAUUAUUAUUAUUAUUAUUUUUUUUCAUCCAUUAUAUAAUAUUUAAUUACUUAAAACACUGUGGCACAAUUAGUUCAAAUUCUUUCAGAAUUGAAUGCUUUAGAAUAUUCAAUUCUUGUAGCGGCCAUUGCUUUUUAAAAGUCUGUUUUAAAUUGUCAAGUUGGAAAGAGUUAUAUACCAAGAUAUGAUUAAUGAGUUAUUAAAUGGUAAAUGAAUAAAACUUUCCAAUUCUUUACACAUGAAGUUUGUCUUCCCCAUGAUAAAAAAGUUCUCACGAACUGCUCUCUAUAUCGGUUUGAUAGUGCUAUAUUAUCUUUCCACAGUAUAAAUUCACAAACUUCCCCAUCCCUGCCCCAAACAAUCCACCCCGCCUUCGUUCCGUAAACAGAAAGACCUAAGAUUGGCCAGCAAGUCAAGGCGAGAGGAGGGGGUAUUUAUGAAAGGGAGAGCUAGCACAACCCAAGAAAAACCACUGAACCUGCAGUACACACCUCAUCACAAGAAGGUUCUGACUUUUUCUAAAAAAAUAAAAAUUAAAAAAAAGUCACUGUUUAUCAUAUAACCAUCAGCCAUUUCCAAGUAUGCGCCAACCGCCACCGUGCCGCCUAUUGCCACACACUAACCAACCAACCCAAUGUUCCCCAAGUCCAACAAGCUAUAGUUUUACUGCAUAAAACUUAAGAACGCACCAUCACAGUCCACAAGUAACUUCCCUUCCCACUACCCCACGACUACGUUAACAAUCCCCAACAUUACGACCAUCGCGAAACAAAAAGUACACAAUUUGAUCACUAACAGGCAGACUGAAUAAUAAGUUUUCAGACUAUAAACAGAUAAGGUAACCCAACUAUAGCGAAGCCACAAAUCCUAUACAAUUUGCUUAAAAACGAAAUUAGUAAAAAAGAAAAUUAAAUCGUGAAAGCUAGCUCAAAAAUUAAAAUCCAGAACAAAUUACCACUAAAUUUCACCGGAAAUUCAGAACUCCAGAUCCUUCUACUACAUACGCAUAUUACUAUCCAU
rnacentral:lncRNA from 1 species